UACGUAGGGUGCAGGCGUUAAUCGGAAUUACUGGGCGUAAAGCGUGCGCAGGCGGUUUCUUAAGUCAGAUGUGAAAGCCCCGGGCUUAACCUGGGAACUGCGUUUGAAACUGGGAGACUUGAGUGUGGCAGAGGGGGGUGGAAUUCCACGUGUAGCAGUGAAAUUCGUAGAUAUCAGGAGGAACACCGGUGGCGAAGGCGGCUUUCUGGACACUAACUGACGCUGAGACGCGAAAGCGUGGGGAGCAAACAGG
rnacentral:rRNA from 1 species